rnacentral:rRNA from 1 species
UACGUAGGGUGCAAGCGUUGUCCGGAAUCAUUGGGCGUAAAGCGCGCGUAGGUGGCUUUGUAAGUCCGUUGUGAAAGUCAAAGGCUCAACCUUUGAAUGCCGAUGGAUACUGCGGAGCUAGAGUACGGAAGAGGCGAGUGGAAUUCCUGGUGUAGCGGUGAAAUGCGCAGAUAUCAGGAAGAACACCCGUGGCGAAGGCGGCUCUCUGGGACGGUACUGACGCUGAGACGCGAAAGCGUGGGGAGCGAACAGG